rnacentral:rRNA from 1 species
GUCCACGCGGUAAACGAUGAAUACCAGGUGUUGGGGGACAAAGUCCUUCGGUGCCGCCGCAAAACGCAUUAAAGUAUUCCACCUGGGGGAGUACGUUCGCAAAGAAAUGAAAACUCAAAAGGAAAUUGACGGGGACCCGCACAAAGCGGUGGAGCAUGUGGUUUAAAUUCGAAAGCAAACGCGAAAGAAACCUUAACCAAGGUCUUGACAUCCCCGAAUGAACCGGCCCCGUAAACGGGGGCUUUCUCUUCGGAGCAAUUGGAGACAGGUGGUGCAUGGUUGUCGU